rnacentral:lncRNA from 1 species
CAUUUCUCAAGCUAUGUGGGGAAGGACUGCAGGGAGCAAUGUGGCCCUGGGUGCCCUGACUGAGAUGACCUUGACCAUUCAGGCAUCCUCUAGCAGACUUUCUGGAUGUGUUUCCAAGUCGUUGGGCCUUAAGGAAAUACCACUGGGCCAGAUGGGGCAGCUGCUGUGACACCACUGAUGUCCCCGGCAGGGAGCCGCUUUUUCCAGCAUCCCAGAAACUGCCUGAACUGUGCUGUAGGCAUGAAUCCCACUCCCUGACACCCUCCUCUGCUCCACUGCAUCCUAAAUUGCAACCCAGCCCUUUCUCAAUGGCUGUCUUGG